AUUGAACGCUGGCGGCAUGCUUUACACAUGCAAGUCGAACGGUAACAGGCCUUCGGGUGCUGACGAGUGGCGAACGGGUGAGUAAUGCAUCGGAACGUGCCCAGAGGUGGGGGAUAACGCAGCGAAAGCUGUGCUAAUACCGCAUGUGAUCUGAGGAUGAAAGCGGGGGACCAGGCAGCAAUGUUUGGCCUCGCGCCUUUGGAGCGGCCGAUGUCAGAUUAGGUAGUUGGUGGGGUAAAGGCCUACCAAGCCGACGAUCUGUAGCUGGUCUGAGAGGACGACCAGCCACCCUGGGCCUGAGACACGGCCCAGACUCCUACGGGAGGCAGCAGUGGGGAAUUUUGGACAAUGGGCGCAAGCCUGAUCCAGCAAUGCCGCGUGCGGGAAGAAGGCCUUCGGGUUGUAAACCGCUUUUGUACGGAACGAAAAGGCUCUGGCUAAUACCUGGGGCUGAUGACGGUACCGUAAGAAUAAGCACCGGCUAACUACGU
rnacentral:rRNA from 1 species